UUCUCAAUUUCUGGUUCUCCUUCUCUUUUUCCUUUUUAUUCAUUUUCUUUGUUUUUAAUUCUCAGAUUCUGCAUGAUUUGUUAUGUGAUAUAGCAUUCGAUGAGUUUUAUUAUCUAUUGAUUGAUAACAUUGUUUCAAAUUCUCAAGCACUCCAAGUGUUCGAUGAAUUGUUUAUUCUCUUAAUUGAAAUCCUGAUAAAUUGAUUUGCUAAUUUUUGAAUUUUGAUUUCGCGACACUCUUUUACUUUGAUACUAAUGUAUAUAUUUGAAAUCCUGAUAAAUUGAUUUUAUUUAGAAACAGCUAUGUUGCUUGAAUCUUAGACUACAGUGAAAAUCCAUGUGAGCAUUAAUAACUUUACCUUAAAUCCUCUUGUAUUUGUGUUUAUUGUUCUGUUCUCAUCAUUUAGCCUUUGAGGUGAAAAAUAAAAGAAAGAAAGAAAGAUAAGAAGAGAUACUAAGUGUUUGAGACUCUACAGAGGCUAGAUCCUUGAAGUACUGAAAAACUGGUUAGAGAAGAGCACUCAAGUUGUUGUCACUAAUGACGAGCGUAUAUUAGGACUAGGAGAUCUUGGUUGCCAGGCUGUUGUUUUCACAGAUAUUAGUCUUGAGAAAGCUAUUGAGUUCAAUGAUUUUUGCCACACUCAUCAGCCUCCUAUUGCUUGUAUCAAAACUGAAGUUAGAGGUUUUUUGUAGAGGAAAAGCCAGUUCUGGACUCGGAACUUUGGCAUGCAUGUGCUGGUUCCCUUGUUUCUUUACCUGCAGUUGGGAGCCAUGUGGUAUACUUUCCAUAAGGUCAUAGUGAACAAGCGAAAUUUCUAAUAUGUUUCAACUUAAAUAUUUUUAAGUUGGUUGAUAUUUCUAAGUGUAUUGAGGCACAGUUAUCCAAUUACAGAUCCUGAUGUGGAAGGAACUUGGCAUCAAAAGGGAAUGACUUAUCUGGACAUAUUCCAGAUACAAUUGCAAACCUUACUGGAUUGGCAGAAUUGUGAAGAUGAGAGCCAAAUUUUCUUUUGGCAACUGAGAAGAUUUUCAUGGCGUGAACUGCAACACGCGACUAAAAAUUUCAGCAAAAGCAAUGUAAUUGGCACAGGAAGAUUUGGAAAAGUUUAUAAAGGAGUACUCUCUUUUUUUAGUUCUCAGGUCAGUUUGGGCAUCAUGCCCAGUUUUUGCUUUAACACCCUUUUUUUUUUGGAAUAUAUGUAUUUUCAUAAUUUUUUCAGAAAGAUC